GGGAAUGUGGCUUAGUGGUACAGUGUUUGCCUAGCAAGCAUGAAGCCCUGGGUUCGAUUCCUCAGUACCA
rnacentral:tRNA from 1 species